UACGUAGGGGGCAAGCGUUGUCCGGAUUUAUUGGGCGUAAAGAGCGUGUAGGCGGCCUGGUAGGUCAGUUGUGAAAACUCGAGGCUCAACCUCGAGACGCCGAUUGAAACCACCAGGCUAGAGUCCGGAAGAGGAGAGUGGAAUUCCCGGUGUAGCGGUGAAAUGCGCAGAUAUCAGGAGGAACACCGGUGGCGAAGGCGGGUCUCUGGGCCGAUACUGACGCUGAGGAGCGAAAGCGUGGGGAGCGAACAGG
rnacentral:rRNA from 1 species